AGUCUCAGCCAUACUACCCUAAACAUGCCUAAUUUAUCAGAUCUUAGAAGUUAAGCAGAGUCAGGCCUGGUUAAUACCUAGAAGCAAGAAAGUACUAAAAACAAACCCAUGCCCUGUGAAUU
rnacentral:rRNA from 1 species